AACGAACGCUGGCGGCAGGCCUAACACAUGCAAGUCGAACGCAUCGCAAGAUGAGUGGCGCACGGGUGAGUAACACGUGGGAAUGUAUCCUUUGGCUCGGAAUAACGUCUGGAAACGGACGCUAAUACCGGAUGAGCCCUUAGGGGGAAAGAUUUAUCGCCGAAGGAGCAGCCCGCGUCUGAUUAGGUAGUUGGUGGGGUAAAGGCCUACCAAGCCGACGAUCAGUAGCUGGUCUGAGAGGAUGAUCAGCCACACUGGGACUGAGACACGGCCCAGACUCCUACGGGAGGCAGCAGUGGGGAAUAUUGGACAAUGGGCGCAAGCCUGAUCCAGCCAUGCCGCGUGAGUGAUGAAGGCCUUCGGGUUGUAAAGCUCUUUUGCACACGACGAUGAUGACGGUAGUGUGAGAAGAAGCCCCGGCUAACUUCGUGCCAGCCGCCGCGGUAACAC
rnacentral:rRNA from 1 species